rnacentral:SRP_RNA from 1 species
GGAGAUUGGUAGCAGACAGAAUACUCGCCAACCCGGUCAGGUCCGGAAGGAAGCAGCCGUAACGAGAUUUUUCUGGGUUGUUUUACCAAUCUCCCAC